rnacentral:misc_RNA from 1 species
CACGUUCUUACUGCCUGCUCAGCCUGCAUUCAUCCCACCCACCACCACCCCCACACACACGCACUCCCACUCCCCCCUCCCCCAGGCCACCCCAAUCAUCACCAUGUCCGCCUACGUGUUGUCGACGCCGCUGGAGGCCCGCGUUGCGAAGUGCGCGAGCCUGCGCGCUGCGAACGCGGUGCCCGUUGUCGUGGAGGAGGCGCAGGCGCGCGGCGGCAAGGCACACUUCAGCGCGCUGGCGCGCGAGACGACGGUUGCGCAGCUUGUGGCCGCGGUGCGCGGCUUCCGCGGCGUGGACGCGAAGAAGCCGGUGGCGCUGACGGUUGCCGGCUGCAGCGUGUCGCCGUCGGCGACGCUCGGCGAGCUGCACGACGCGUGCAGGCGAGCGGACGACGGCAUGCUGUACGUCGCCUACACCGCGGAGCGCUGCAUGGGCGCUGCGGUGUGCACGCCGUGCGGCUCGUGUGCCUGGAACUAGCGCCGGGAAGGGCGUGACAGCGUGGUGUGGUAGCGCUCAACGCGUCCUGCGGCUCCCGUGGUAUUGUCUGCCUAGCCUUGCGGUGUGCUUGGCCCCACCGCUCCCCGGUGCGCUGGCUGUCUCUUCUGGGUACCCUCCGCCUUGCCUUGUGCUACCCCUCGCUGACAGCGUGCGGCGCACCGGAUGACUAGCUGCGUGUGUGCGGCCGGGUGCACCCCCUCCCACACACACACACACUGCCUCCCCGUGUGUGUGCCUGUGCGGGACGGCCCUCUGCUAUACGUUUUUCUUUGGUUCUCUUUUCUGUCGCCGCAUCGACGGCACCCCUCGUGUGUGUGUGUGUGCGCUCGCCAAGUGCCAUUUGUGUUGUUCGGAGGCGGGCACGUCUCGCGGGCGCUCCUGUCCCCCACACACUCCCUGCGGGCUGUGGUCGGCGACGCCUCGCUACCUGUGCACACGUCCCGCCCCCCACCACCCACACCGCCUUCCUCUCUAUGUGCACGCACUUGUUUUGCUUGUUUAUUCCUGAUAUUCCGCGACUAUGAUCUCUCUCCCGUGUGCACAGCGCUGCGGCGGGCCGACUCACGCCCCUCUCAUUCUUCUCUUUUCCCCUCCCCCCUCACUUUCUUGAUCUUGUUCGCCCCCGCUGUCCUCAUGUGUAUACGUGUGUCCCGAAACUUUCAUUGCCGACGCGUCGGUGGUGGCCCGUGUGCUGGCGGCUGUGUGUGCGCCGCUGGAGUGCGAGCUGCACUGCAGUCCUGGAGCGCCACUCGCCACUCCUCGUGUGCCUCCCUCCUCUCUCAGCAAUGCCCAUCUCCGCCAGCUCUGCAAAACUGCGCCCCGGGAAUACCAGCAGGACACACGCUGUGUGAGCCUGCGUGCGAGUGAGGGGAGGGAGGGAGGGGGGGGGCAGGCGCUGCUGUCUCUCUGUCGCCGCGAUGCGGCCUCUUCUGCUCCCCGCGGUGCCCUCCACCACUCGUUCGCUGCCUCGCCCCCGUGGCUCAUGCCCCCUCUCCCCGCCUCUCUGCUACCUCCCCUCCUUCCCUCUCUCCGCCUGUCUCUCUGUGUGCGCAUGCGCCGCGGUGUACCCCUUGCCGAUCACCGCCGUCUGACGCCCUGCGUGCGCUCAG